rnacentral:rRNA from 1 species
CCUACGGGAGGCUGCAGUGGGGAAUAUUGGACAAUGGGGGGAACCCUGAUCCAGCCAUGCCGCGUGUGUGAAGAAGGCCCUCGGGUUGUAAAGCACUUUCAGUGAGGAAGAACGCCUGGUGGUUAAUACCCAUCAGGAAAGACAUCACUCACAGAAGAAGCACCGGCUAACUCCGUGCCAGCAGCCGCGGUAAUACGGAGGGUGCGAGCGUUAAUCGGAAUUACUGGGCGUAAAGCGCGCGUAGGUGGCUUGAUAAGCCGGUUGUGAAAGCCCCGGGCUCAAACUGGGAACGGCAUCCGGAACUGUCAAGCUAGAGUGCAGGAGAGGAAGGUAGAAUUCCCGGUGUAGCGGUGAAAUGCGUAGAGAUCGGGAGGAAUACCAGUGGCGAAGGCGGCCUUCUGGACUGACACUGACACUGAGGUGCGAAAGCGUGGGUAGCAAACAGGAUUAGAUACCCUUGUAGUC